GCCGAAAUAGCUCAGCUGGUAGAGCAAUGCUUUCGUAAAGCAGAGGUCGCGGGUUCGAAUCCCGCUUUCGGCUCCA
rnacentral:tRNA from 1 species